rnacentral:lncRNA from 1 species
UGUAUGAGCCACCUCAUUUUAAAGGUAAGUUUUAUAAAGUGGUGAUCAGACCAACUAUAUUAAUUAUCCCAACAAAAAUUAACACUAACCAAAAAGCAUGAGCAUAGCUGCGUAAUACUUGUAUAUAUAGAAGAAAUUUUCAAUCGCCAAAUCGAAUGGUUGUGCCAUUUUAAUCAAUGAAAUCGUCACUCCAUUGGAUUAACACGUGGACUCUCUUUCAGCAGCCAAACAUAGAAGAACCCAUUGUUCACAUUACCAUUUCUCCUUUGGCUAGUUUGUAUGAAGCGGAUUGUUAACCGAUCAAAAAUUCGCCCAUCCAAAAAAUGAGAGUAGCAGGAAUAAGGAUGAUGUCUAGGUUUAGUAAAAGAGAUUGAAUAAAAAAAUGAAGCUAUGUUGGAUAAGGUUGGUGUGGUCUCUAUGGUAGAAUGAGGGUGGUGAGGUUGAGAUGGUUCAGAUAUGUAAGGAGAAGAUGCACAAAUGCCUCAGUAAGGUGUUGUGAAAGGUUAGUUAUAGUACAUGAAGAGAGGUAGAGGUAGAUCAAAAGUUAUUGGUGAAAUUACAAUAAUAGUACAACUGAAAAAAUUAUAAGUGAAGAAAAAUAAAGUUCUUCUUGGCUAAGACGUGGAUAUCUCGCUCUUUAAAGAGAUUUAAUCCAACUGCGGCAUAAUCUACAUCAAUCCAGCAGUAUAUCUCGUGACUUGUCUCCUCCAGGAUACAACAACCCAUCAAUGAUGUACAACUCAAACAACUCCGAAUUAGUUGAAGAAUCCACAGCUCCACCAUAAGAACACCUUCCUUCAACAUAUUAUUACUCUCUAUCAUAGUGAAUAUAGUUGUAGAUUUAGAAUUUUUUUUUGACUCAACUCACUUUCACUACUAUAUUUACUCUUCUCAUCUUUUUCUUUAUAAACAAUAAAGGAAGAAACAUCUCUAUUUAUCGGUUAAGAAUUCUUUCAUGUAAUGAAUAUGAUGAAUGAGGGGUAGUAAUCUGGAUAGAUAAAUAAUCUUGAUGUUACAUAUACUACAUGCAACUAAAGACCAUGGAAUUACAAGAAGUUAAUGGUCAUACGAGUUACAAGAACUAAUGAUCAUCUUUUACCACAAUUUAUAUCCACUAACACCAAAGAAUUAUGUGGUGAGUUACAAGACUUAAUGUGGUAGAUAAUGGAUAAAUAAAGUGUAAGAAGUUACAAGAGUGGUCAAGAUAUAAUGACACUACUUUCUCCACUAUAUGUCCAUAAAUACUAUAACAAAAGACAUUUAUUGUUACAAAAUAUGUUGUAGCAAAAUAUGAAAUUUUCUGUGGCUAAACACUUUAGCUAUAAUAUUUUCUAUCGUAGCAUUCGUAACAAGAUGUAGCGUGGCUAAAAGUUAGCUACAAACUUUUCAUGGUCCGUGACUAAGAAUGUAUACUUGUUGCUACAAAAAAAAAUAUUGUAGUUAAGAUGGUAAAAAGUUUUUGCCACGAAAAAUAUACUUAUGGCAAGUGAUUUUAUUUUUUUGCCACGACAAACAAAAUUUGUAGAUUUUCAUAUUGUAGUCACAAGCUAUUGUAUUGUGGCAAAAGAUUUUAUUUGUUUGCCAUAUUAAUUUAAAUUUUAUGGCUAUUUCUAUAGCUUAGUCUUGUGGCAAUAGCACUCAUAUUUAGUUAAAAAUAAAAAAUUUCAUAGCUAUAAAUUAAAGAAUUUGCCACAAACAUCUUCAUCUAGUAACUAAAAAUUACUAUCUUUAGCCAUGAAGUCGCUACAUCUGCUACGGAAGAUAAAAUUUUAGCUAUGCUCUUAAUAUGUCAAUUAUAGGAGUAUAUUUCUAGCUACGAAUUCAAAAAAUUCAAAGCUAAAAUUUAGCACAAAACUUUGCCACAGACAUUAUUAGCCAAAAUAAUACGAAUAAUGUAGCCAGGAAUUCAUUUUUGGCAUGAAACAGUAGUAUAUCUUAAAAAUUUCAAUAAAUGCAAUAUAUUAAAAUAAAUAAAUAAAUGUUCAACAAUAACAUUCAAAGUUGCAAAACAUCAUUUUACUCGAACAUAUUGAUAUACUUCUGCAAGAGAAAAAAAUAUAUUCACGUCUCCAUUGAUUUUGAUUUCAUCACUCCUCCAUAAACUGCAAUAACAAUUAAAAAGAUUAGAAAAUGAUAUAUUAAAAUAUUCAUUUUAAAAACUAAAAUUUAUUUAUUAAUAUAAAUAUUUUCUUAUAGAAAAAAUAUAUUUACUAACGGCUCUCUCUAACGGCUCUCUCUCUUCCUCCCUCCCUACCCUCUCUCUCGCUCGCACCGGUCACCGGCCCCCGUCACCGACCCGACCCGACCUCCGGUCCCCGGCGCCGCCCUAACGGCUCUCUCUCUCUCUCUCUCCCUACCCUCUCUCCAUCUCUCUCGCACCGGUCCCCGGUCCCCGGCGCCGUCGCUAACCUUCGGCACCGACCCGACCCAACCGCCGGCUUCGACCUCCGGUCCCCGGUGCUGACUCAACCCGACCGCCGCCACCAGCCCCCUCCCCCCCCUCGGCCUCCAGCCAGCCGCCGCUCGGUCUCCAGCCACCAACUCGGUCUCCAACAGCCGAAGCUCGGUCUUCAGCCGCAACUCCGUCUGCACCCGCCGCGCCGUCUCCAGCAGCCGCAGCUCCAAACGAAAUCCGGUGACUUCUAACCUUUGUUAUUUCAUAUUGCAUUUUAUUUCAUUAUUUCAUAUUCCAUUCUUAGUAUUAUGCUAGUAGUAGCCCCGGUACCUUAACUUGUGUGGGAUUUGUGGACAUUGUCUGUUGUCUGUUGUUGCUGUUGCUGUGGUCGUUUCUUAGCUUUGUUUCGGGAGUAUUCCUUUGAAUUUGUGUGAGCCUUGUAUUUCCUUGCUGCUGCUUUGAUACUACCACCGUGUAUACCUUUAUAUUUUCCUAUACUUUCGUGUAGUUGUGGCUGUGGGCGGUAAUGGGUGGAUAGGGUCAUGUCCGAGGGGGUUGGGGCGUGGGGCCAUGAUGGGGGCGGAGGAUGUGGAAAGGGCGGGAGUGGGAGGGAGGCCAAGGUUUGACCGCGGGGGGGAGNNNNNNNNNNNNNNNNNNNNNNNNNNNNNNNNNNNNNNNNNNNNNNNNNNNNNNNNNNNNNNNNNNNNNNNNNNNNNNNNNNNNNNNNNNNNNNNNNNNNNNNNNNNNNNNNNNNNNNNNNNNNNNNNNNNNNNNNNNNNNNNNNNNNNNNNNNNNNNNNNNNNNNNNNNNNNNNNAGUGGGGGGCGCGUGGAUAGCGACGGUAGGCUGAGGGUUGGGUCUUGGAAUAUAGGGACCCUUCAGGGGAAGUCCAUAGAGCUGGUGAAGAUUCUUAGGAAGAGAAGGAUCAACCUUGCGUGUGUCCAAGAGACCAAGUGGGUAGGGUCUAAGGCUAGGGAUGUGGACGGUUACAAGCUGUGGUACUCUGGGAGCGACAGGCGUAGGAAUGGAGUUGGCAUCUUGGUAGAUGAAGAGCUUAGAGGUCAGGUAGUGGAGGUGAAGAGGAUCAACGAUAGGUUGAUGACUAUCAAGUUGGUCAUUCGGGGGUUUACCCUGAACGUGUGUAGUGCCUAUGCGCCGCAUGUGGGAUCGGAGGGGGAGGAGAAGAUGCGGUUCUGGGAGGCCUUGGAGGACGUGGUGAGAGGCGUGCCCAGUUCGGAGAAGAUUGUGGUAGCAGGGGAUUUCAACGGGCACAUCGGGGCGCUACCGGGAGGCUUUGGGGAUGUGCAUGGAGGUUUUGGUUUUGGGGAGAGAAAUGAAGAGGGGGCGACCCUAUUGGAGUUUGCGAGGGCGUUUGGGCUGGUGGUGGUGAACUCGGGCUUCCCGAAGAAGGACGACCACCUGAUCACUUUUCGGAGCGCGGUAGCCAGGACCCAGAUUGACUUCUUGUUGCUUAGGAAAGGGGAUAGGGCGCUGUGUAAAGAUUGUAAAGUCAUCCCGAGUGAGAACCUUUCGACCCAACAUAGGCUCUUGGUUAUGGAUUUGGGUAUGAAGAAGAAUAAAAAGAGGAGGAGUAAGGAGUGUAGACCGAGAAUUAAGUGGGGCGGUUUGACGCCAGUGAAUGCGUGGGAGAUAGGGGAGAGGUUGGCGGGAAUGGGGGUGUGGGAGUGUAGGGGGGACGUGGAUAAUAUGUGGGACAGGGCGGCAGCGUGCAUCAGGGAAAAUGCAAGGGAGGUGUUGGGUGUUUCUAGGGGCCGGGCCGGACAUCAUCGGGGGGAUUGGUGGUGGAAUGAAGAGGUGGGGAAGAAAGUGGAGACCAAGAAAGAGUCGUAUGCUAAGUUGGUGGAAAGUAAGGACGAAGAGGAGAAGCGGGUAAACAGGAAAGAGUACAAGCUAGCAAGGAAGGAGGCGAAGUCAGCGGUCACGGCAGCUAAGACGGCUGCUUUUGAGAGCUUGUAUGCAGGGUUACAGGGGAAAGGAGGGGAGAAAAAGUUGUUCCGACUCGCUAAGGCUAGGGAGAGGAAGGGUCGUGACCUCGAUCAGGUGCGGUGCAUUAAGGGGGAGGACGGUAGAGUGUUGGUGGAGGACGGCCACAUAAAGAAGAGAUGGCAGUCGUACUUUCAUAGGCUCUUGAAUGACGAGGGGGACAGAGCUAUUGUGUUAGGGGAACUGGAGCACUCAGGGGAGUGUCGGGAUUUUAGCUAUUGUAGACGUUUUAAGGUAGACGAGGUUAGACAGGCAGUCCGCAGGAUGCGAAGGGGUAGGGCGACGGGGCCGGAUGAGAUACCGGUGGAGUUUUGGAAGUUCGUUGGAGAGGCUGGUGUAAGGUGGUUGACUGCAUUGUUCAAUGAAAUUUUCAGGACAGCAAAGAUGCCCGAGGCGUGGAGGUGGAGUACCAUGAUCCCCCUCUAUAAGAAUAAGGGGGACAUUCAGUGUUGCAAUAACUAUAGGGGGAUUAAGUUACUGAGUCACUCUAUGAAGAUCUGGGAGAGAGUGGUCGAGGUGAGGCUGAGACGGAUAGUGUCUAUCUCGGAAAAUCAGUUCGGAUUUAUGCCCGGCCGCUCGACGACGGAGGCAAUUCACCUGGUACGGCGGUUGGUGGAGCAAUAUAGGGAAAGGAAGAAGGAUUUGCACAUGGUGUUCAUCGACCUAGAAAAGGCGUACGACAAAGUCCCCAGGGAGGUGCUUUGGAGAUGCUUGGAGGUGAGUGGAGUACCGCAGGCAUAUAGCAGAGUAAUUAAGGAUAUGUAUGAGGGAGCGAAAACCCAGGUGAGGACGGCGGGAGGAGACUCAGAGCAUUUCACUGUCCUGACAGGAUUGCAUCAGGGAUCUACUCUUAGUCCCUUUUUGUUUGCGCUAGUAAUGGAUGUGUUAACGCGGCGUAUCCAAGGGGAGGUGCCGUGGUGUAUGCUUUUUGCAGACGAUGUAGUCCUGAUAGAUGAGACGCGAGGGGGUGUGAACGACAAAUUAGAGCUGUGGAGGCAAACUCUGGAGUCUAAAGGGUUCAGGGUGAGCAGAACCAAGACAGAGUAUGUGGAAUGUAAGUUUAAUGACGUAAGGCGAGAGAAUGAGGUAGUGGUGAGGCUAGAAGCGCAGGAGGUAAAGAAAAGGGAUAAGUUCAAGUACCUCGGGUCCGUGAUCCAGAGUAACGGUGAGAUUGACGAGGAUGUCUCGCACCGUAUCGGGGCGGGAUGGAUGAAGUGGAAACUUGCAUCGGGGGUGCUGUGUGAUAAGAAGGUGCCGCCCAAGCUUAAAGGCAAAUUCUAUAGGGUGGUAGUCCGUCCGGCCUUGCUGUAUGGAGCGGAGUGUUGGCCAGUUAAGAACUCCCACAUCCAAAGAAUGAAGGUGGCAGAAAUGCGGAUGUUGCGCUGGAUGUGUGGACUGACUCGAGGGGAUAGAGUUCGGAAUGAGACUAUCCGGGAGAAGGUUGGUGUGACUUCAGUGGAGUGUAAGAUGCGGGAAGCACGAUUGAGAUGGUUCGGACACGUGAAGAGGAGGGGCAUGGAUGCCCCGGUCCGUAGGUGUGAGAGGCUAGCGUUGGAUGGUUUUAGGCGGGGUAGGGGUAGGCCGAAGAAGUACUGGGGUGAGGUGAUUAGGCGGGACAUGGAACAGUUACAGCUCACCGAGGACAUGACCCUAGAUAGGAAGGUCUGGAAGACGCGAAUUACGGCAGAGGAUUAGGGCCAGUUUGGGUCGCUAGUGUAGGGAUUACUUGGUGGGGGUUUUAUUCCUGCUAUGAUUCCGUAUCCCGUGUUCCAUGUUUAUUACGAAUCUGUGUGCUUUCCUCUGCUUUCCUCUGUUUUAUAUUCCUUAUGGGUGCCGUAUUUAUGUUAUGUAAUCUGCUUCUGUGCUUUACUAUGUGUUUGUGUGGUGUCUCGUGCCUUGAGCCGGGGGUCUUUCGAAAACAGCCUUUCUACUUCAUCAGAGGUAGAGGUAUAGACUGCGUACAUCUUACCCCCCAGACCCCCCUAGGUGGGAAUACACUGGGUUUGUUGUUGUUGUAGUAAUAUAAAAAAAAUAUAAAUAAGCUACUACCUAUUAAUUUUCAUCAUUUGAUUGUCCACCUUGAGCUACAACCAUCACUUGAAUUUUUUCUUCAAUCAUUUAAUCAACUCUGCCUUUUAAUUGAUUAAACUAAUUUUGCAAUGAAAACAAUCAAACAUAUAUGCAAACUAGUAAGGAUAACCCGGACGUUGCCCGAAUACAACAAGAACAAAAUUAUAUUAUUUAUUAUACAUUGUAGAUAAGUCCAUAAAGAUUCUUAAAAUAUAUUCUGCUCAUAAAUGAAGUUGAAAAACUCGUUUGUUCUUUGAACUUCAAAGACGAACUUAUGAGAAAGCAGGAAAACAAACAACCCCAAAAGAACCUUUUUUGUUACUAAGUUGUGUGGACUUUUUACUUUCGAUGCCGCACCCGUGUAGGAUUCUCCACACUACAUUACUUUUUUAGAAUCCGACACACACUCAUUGACGUGUUUGAAGAGUCUGAGUAACAUAGGUUUGUUUUAUUCCUAUUGAGAGUUAUCCAUAUCAAACACACCUUUCACAUUUAGGGGGAGCAGGUUAAUAGGUUUCCAUUACAGUUAUCAAGUCGAGGAUCCCUAAAACAUGGACAAUAGUAUUAACACAAUGAAAACAAAUAAUAGUACACAGUUAGACCAAAUAGCAGGUUGAAUCAUUAAUCGUAGGAAUUUAAUUUAAUUACUUACAACAGUGUCAUAGAUUUUCAUUUUGCUUCUCCAAUUCUGUCGAUCUGUAUUUAUAAAAUCAAACCAAGAAGCAAUCAAUUACUAAGAAUCAAAUACUAAGGAAGCAGUGUUAUCAAAUAACCAUCAAAACCUUACUGUUGAGUUCUGAUACAACCUCCAGUUUACUUCAGCACCAACUUCUAUUUUUCACGAAUUAAACUAUUCUCUUUAGUUGAUCUUGGACAAUCCUACAAGCAUGACUUUAUCUUUAUGGUAACAUGCUUCUACUUAUUUGGUAUGGAUAUUUGUGUUCUGCAUAGAUAGUACACAUUAAUAAUUAUUCCCAGAAUGUGUUAAAAAGGAAUAAUAAGUACUAGACAUAACAUUCCUUCAUAGAUAUCUAAUGAAACGAUAAAAAGCAAGAAUAUUAGCAUUUAGUCUCGAGUUCGAGUCUCAAGAACAAAAAAAAUUUCUAAUAAGGAGUGUUUUUCUCUUAAAUGAUCAUAUCUAAAAUGUAAAUCUGAAUUAAUUGGGUUAGUGUGUCGCCAAUUGAAAGACUGUUGAACAAAAAAUAUAUUAAACAAUAAUCAGUGCAAAUAUAAGCGAAGCAACUGUUUAUAACCUUGAGUUGACAGAGGUAUGAAAGACAAUUUUUGUGGCACAUAAGUUGUGCAAUCUGGAGAAUUUGAAGAAUCCUUUGUUGUUGACCUGCACGCUACUAAAUCAAACAACAACAACAAUAUACCCAAUGUACUCUCUGAGAAAUUUCAUCAAAUAACUAUAGCGCACAAUCUGUGUACACCUCUACACAACUUUCUUCCACAAAUCAUCUCCUAAUCACUACUCUAUUACAACACCACAUUAAAUGCACAAUAUAUAAACAUAAUUUAAUUCAUUUGUAAAAUUCAAAUUCAAAACACACUCCAGAAAGAGAAAUAAUUUGAAUUCAAUAAAAAUACUAACCCGAUAUUAUUUCAAUGCAUAAUAAAAGAAAAGAAGAAAAAAGAAGAGAGAGUUAAGUAAUAAGACAUUACAUGUUAUAUGCUAUUCCUGAAGUGGAGGGUAUUUAACGAGAUGGUAAAAAUGGGGAAUGUUAGGGUGAACUUGAAUGAUCUAAUUCUGAGAGGGAGGUAGAUAGUCGGGUUCUUUUUGGGAGAUUUUGAGAGGGAAAUUUGGGCGGGAAGUUUUUGACAAUUAUUUUAAUUCCAAAAUUUUGUCCCAAACUCAUUCUUAAUAUGUUUAGAGUAUUAUACUACUCCCUCCAUUUCAUAAUAAAUAAAUUGUUAAAUUUUGACGCACAAAUUAAAAAAAAGAAUUAAAGACAUAAAUUUAAAAUAGUUUUCCAUUUUUACCUUGUUCAAAGUACAAAAUUAUAUUUAUUUUAUUUUUUUAUCAGUUAAUGGGCCCCUUGGUUGUCAAAUCUUCAAGGGUAAAUUUGAAAUUUUUUUUCAGUAAUUCACUUAUUUUGAAGUACAAAAAAUACUCCAAUAAUUCAUUUAUUAUGAAACGGAGGGAGUAUAUGAGUAAUAGUUAUGCAUUCAAUAAUUUUUAAAAAAAGUUAAAUAAUAUAAAGAGUGUUGCAUAAUUUAAAGAUAUUUAAAUUUUUAACAUUAUGUAUAAAUAUUGAUAAUUAGCAAAUAAUAAUAAAACAUGUAGCGUUUUUUAAUAUUUGUAUCAAAUGUUGUUAUUUUUAUAAUAUUUUUCAUUAAAUGUCUGUUUUUGUGGUAUUUUUUCAUGAAUGUCGGGAAAUAAUAUUUCUCAAUAUUUAUUUCAAAAGUGACUAAAUAAAAGUCAUCGUAUUUUAAUUUUUUUGCACCAUCAGGUCCAUGUCAAUCGCUAGUUUUCAUUAUAUAAUUAAGAAAUUCAAUUGGUGGUCAUUUUAAAAUACAAGAGAUGAUAUCUUUAGAUUCGAAGUGUCAAUUUCAACAUACAUUAAACUUUUUUUUAAUUCAAAAUGAUGAACUUAUUAUUUUGAUGUGUUCUUUUCCAAUGAAUUGUGUAGAUAUAACACCCCGCAUUUUCGAGCUAGAAAGCGAACCGUUGUUCUUACGUGCAUAAGCUCUAAUUCCAUGAUUUUUAUUUAAAUUCAUGUGUCAUGAUCCUUCUCCUAGUAUAUGAAAUGGUUAUGAGGUGAAAAAUAUUCAUAGAAAUGGCCUAAAGCAAAGUUGAGCUAAGAACCCUUCACCCAUCCAAAAUUUGAUAUUUCAUUCUACAAGGGUCAUCUUUGAACGAUUAUAACUUUUGGUAUAUAUAAAAUUUGGUAGAUUAAGACACACCAAAUUAUAGAUAAUCGAAUUAGCUCUCCAACGAUACUAAUUUUGCCUUAAUCCAACACCUGAGCAAAAAGUUAUGCCAUUUUUCGUGUGAGGCAGUAAGGGGUCGCGAUAGCCCUGCGAUGCGAGGUCUGCUUGACCCAAAUAGGGGUCGCGAUAGCCCUGCGAUGCGAGGUCUGCUUGACCCAAAUAGGGUUCGCGUCGCGAGGGCUACUUAACCUAACUAGGGGUCGCAACGCGGGAGCUAUUCCCGCACAGUUUUAGCUUCUUAAGGGUCAAGGGUCACUUUGGUCCUUCCCCCUCGACCCCAAACGUCCAUAACCCGAAAUUUCAGCCCCCAAAAUAGCACUUUAGCCCCAAAUUCAUAUUCUCCCCAAAUUGAAAUCAUCCUCACUUUCCCAAGAAUACAAAAACCCUAACUCCUAAGCUAAGAUCUCAAGAAACAGAUCAAAAUUCAGGUUCCAAGUAUCAAGAUUCGGAUUCCAUCUUUCAAAUCUCGUAAUUUAAGGUAUGUAGGGUUUUCCUAAAUCUACAUGUGCAUAAGAAAAUCGUUUCAACAACAUUUAAACAUUGUGAAAUCAUGAAUUCUUGAAGGGGUUUUGAAAUUUAGAUUACAAUUGUGCAUUAUGAACUCUUAAAUGAUAUUAUUCUUUGGUCUUGAGGCCUUCCCUUAGAAAAUUGAACUCUCUCUCUCUCUCUCUCUCUCUCUCUCUCUCUAUAUAUAUAAAUGUAUGCAUUUGAUGAAUUUAAAUAUUGAAUUGAGAGCAUCAAUUAUUGGAAAUCCCUCUCUCGUUUAAAGGUUUCUUGUUUUCGUAAGCCAUGAUUAUUUGAAUGUAUUUUGAGAAGCAUGAUUACAAAUGCAUUGAUUAUUGUUUAUGACUUGAUUAUGGUUUUGAUUUGAAGAGAGGGGUUUUUACAUGUUGAUAAAUGCCGAAGUAUAUAAUGAAAGAAUUGCAUGGUUUUGUCAAAAAUACAUGACCAACACAGGUUUGUUGGAAUUGUUGAAAAGAUGAAAAUCUUUGCAUGAUUUUGACUUAUGUUUUAAAGUAUGAAUUCUCUUAUACUUGUCUGAAUGUUUUGGUGGUCUGAACAUUAUUGUAAAUGAACGAAUCUUGCAUGAUACCUUAUGGCUCAGAAUUUUGACUUGUAAGUCUUGGUAUGAUGAUAUCAAUUCAGGUAAUGCCAUAGUAACACAGAACAAAACAUAGUGUGGAUUUUCUUUCAGAUUUUCAGAUUUUGAACUAAGAAUGAUACAAGUUCAGAAAUGGCUAAAAAUGAGCAUAAAGAGAUGUUAGGUGGUUAGCCGAAGAAGGCACGAUUUUAGAAAACUCAUUACCCAAAAUUGUGUUUUGCCGAUACGAGAUUAUUAUGUCCCUUAGAGGGAUUAUACGUUGGCCUAGUGCUCUGUGGUAUAUUAGAAUUAGAAACUCUACCUCUUGUGGCAAACUUGGGAUGGGGCUUGGCCACCAAGUUAAGGGCGGACUCCAUAUAGCCCGUGGGAUUAUACAAUUGUAGGAUGUACCAUCUAACUCAGAAGUAAUAUAAAGAUUAGAACUGCAUUGUCAAAAAAAAUUGUUUUAUGAUCACUGAAACUGCCCAUGCAUUUUUAAAUAUUUUAUGCAUGAUAUUUCAGACUUGCUCUCAUCUAUGUUAUAUAUAUGUAAACACAUUAUUUUGGAUUACUCUGUAUACCAGUACAUCUAUAUUGACUCCCUAUAUUUCAGGGUCUGAUGCUCAAUCUAGAGGUCCUACUAAGUCGUAGAAUUUUCAAACAGAAGAGAAGUGAGCUGUUGGUAAGCCUUCUUUAUUUUGGAGGUCCUAUUUUGUUUCAGUCAUUUGAUAAUUAGUAUGGUUUUGGUCAACUGGGGGCCUUGUCCCAGAUUCAGAUAGUUUAUUGAUGUCAUAUGUAGUAAAGAUUUCGCAGACUGAAAAAGAUGUUGUCUAAAUAUUUAUGAACUUAUUUUCGUAUUGUUAAACAGAUUUCAGAAUAUGAUCAUGAUUUUGUUUAUUUUACUUCUGCAUCUUUUCUUUAUUAUUCGAGUUUUGUGUAUGAUGACCAGUGGUAGAAGAGUGUCCGGAUCACUAUGGUUCGAGAUGCUCGUGUAAUACCCCACAUGUUUCUAAGCUAGGAGACGAACCAUUUUUCCUACAUAUGAAAUCUCCUAUCCUGUGAUUCAUACUUGAGUACAUGACUUACAAUGAGUAUCCUAGCGAUAAGAUAGCUUAUGAUGCGUUAAGCAUGUUCAUAUGAGUCACUUAACCUUGUACAAGCUAAGAGUUUUUGAAUCCAUCAAGUUUUAGUGUUCGAUUUCAUAAGGGUCAUAUUUGAACGAGUAUAACUCGAUAUUAAUGUGGUAUUUCGACAUAUUUCUAUCCACCAAAUUAUAGAGAAUCAAAUAGCUUUCCAAUGAUACCAAUUUCAUCAAAAUCCGACACCCGAGCUAGGAGUUAUGGCUUUGCGAAGUAGAGUGCGUCGCCUAACCAAUCGCACAUGGCCACUGGAAAGCAUAUACGAUAGCAUAUGCGGUGCCUAUGUAAAUAUAGGUGAUAUCAUUUGCAGCGCCUAUGUAGAUAUAGGCGAUAUCAUAUGUGGAACCUAUGUAAAUUUAGGCGAUAUCAUAUGCGGCGCCUAUGUAAAUAUAUGCGAUAUCAUAUGCGGUGCAUAUCUUAUGGUUUCAAGUGACUUAAACACUCCGUUUUGAGUUAUUUUGAGGGUAAUUAAGUCUUUUAACACUCCUUACACAUCCCUAAACUUAACCCUACGAAAUAUAUAGCUCAUAAUUACAUUACAACCCUACUAACAUNNNNNNNNNNNNNNNNNNNNNNNNNNNNNNNNNNNNNNNNNNNNNNNNNNNNNNNNNNNNNNNNNNNNNNNNNNNNNNNNNNNNNNNNNNNNNNNNNNNNNNNNNNNNNNNNNNNNNNNNNNNNNNNNNNNNNNNNNNNNNNNNNNNNNNNNNNNNNNNNNNNNNNNNNNNNNNNNNNNNNNNNNNNNNNNNNNNNNNNNNNNNNNNNNNNNNNNNNNNNNNNNNNNNNNNNNNNNNNNNNNNNNNNNNNNNNNNNNNNNNNNNNNNNNNNNNNNNNNNNNNNNNNNNNNNNNNNNNNNNNNNNNNNNNNNNNNNNNNNNNNNNNNNNNNNNNNNNNNNNNNNNNNNNNNNNNNNNNNNNNNNNNNNNNNNNNNNNNNNNNNNNNNNNNNNNNNNNNNNNNNNNNNNNNNNNNNNNNNNNNNNNNNNNNNNNNNNNNNNNNNNNNNNNNNNNNNNNNNNNNNNNNNNNNNNNNNNNNNNNNNNNNNNNNNNNNNNNNNNNNNNNNNNNNNNNNNNNNNNNNNNNNNNNNNNNNNNNNNNNNNNNNNNNNNNNNNNNNNNNNNNNNNNNNNNNNNNNNNNNNNNNNNNNNNNNNNNNNNNNNNNNNNNNNNNNNNNNNNNNNNNNNNNNNNNNNNNNNNNNNNNNNNNNNNNNNNNNNNNNNNNNNNNNNNNNNNNNNNNNNNNNNNNNNNNNNNNNNNNNNNNNNNNNNNNNNNNNNNNNNNNNAGUCAAACCUCAGAUCUCAAGUAGCUUUUUCGUCAGUCAACGAAACUCAGUGAAUUCAGCUUAGUUCUGCUAAGAAAAUAUUAUCAGCUUAGUUAAUCAGUUUAUAAAUCAGUUCAGUUAGUCAGUUCAGCGCAGUUAAUCUUUUUAGAGUCUUUCAGUUGGGAGUUGGGACUAGCACCGAGCGAGUGCAGGGAUGGCAGUUUUUCCCGUUAUAAAGGCAGAGCCGUUAGCAGUAAUCCCUGUACUCCAGAACUGCGUAGCCAGCACAGGACAGGAUUCACCCAUCAAAUUAAGGCUAUACUUGACUAUUGUAUUGCCUUAGGCUUGAUUUCCUGUUCAGGGUCACCCGUCAGAGAGGCUUGACCAUAGUAGAGGUCUCUACCCGCGGCAUGAUAUUGACUCCCUUCCAUUCAGGGCAAAGAUUGAAACCCACCAAUAUAGUAUCAGGGCAUAUCAGUUAGGUUACUACCUCCCACAGUCACAGUUAUAAUUACAAUUUCAGCAUCAGUCUUCAGAGUAGAAAUCAAGAAUCAGGAUAGUCAGAUAUAGUCAUCAAUCUCAGUAAGGAACUCAGAUAGUUCCAUUGAUUCCCAGACCAUCCCGUCAGAUAGGCUUGGUCCCAUAUUAAGAUGCUUAUUAUUAGAUCUAGAGGUCACCCAACAGACAGGCUUGAUCUCAAUCUUAGAUUCAGUUGAGUAUUCUCAUUAUCAGUUUUAGAGAUCACUCGUUAGCUAGGACUGAUCUCAGACUUUCAGAGACAGAUUGGAACUCAGAUAGUUUUCCCCAGAAUUAGGACUGUUAGAUACAGUCAUCCAUGUUAUCAGUCAUUCAGUAUCUCAGUAUCACGAAACUCAUAUUGUCAGAGUUCAAACUCAAGUACUCAGUAUCUCCACGAGUUCAGUAGCAGUUACGUAUGUAUGUAUAUAUGUAUGUAUGUAUGUAUUCUCACAUUCAUAUUAGUGAGCAUGUUCAUGCAUAUAAGCCCCAUGCAUUUAGCCUACCCUCAUGUAUACUCAGUACUUUAGUUGUACUGAUGCAUUUGCGCUAUGGUGCUUUCUUUAUGUUACACCAUAGAUUCUGAGGUGCAAAUUUCAGAUCAGCGGUGGCAGUUCAGUAAGCAGUGAGUCCUCAUCUUUUGAGGACAUGAUCGUUACAUUUAUUAUUCCAAUAUUUCAGUUUAUUUUCAAUUUAAGGAGUUAGUUGGAGACAUGUUCCUUCAACUCCUUAUUUAGACAGUUUAGAGGCUUUCAAACGAUUAUAGAGUUUUCAGAUUUAGACUUUAGUAUUUUUAGUUUUGUUUUGGUACUGUAAUACCACCUUAUUUCAGAUAUUUUAUUAUUCAAGAUUAAACCUUACGCCCUCUUUGUUCAUGUUUCCAUAUUUUAUAUGUAUAUUAUACAGUUACAGGUACAGAUAUAAGUCAUGGGUUGGCUUGUGGUCCUUCGGGGUCAUAAGCAUCGUGUAGCAUUCUGGUUCAAAAAAUUAGGGCGUUACAACUUGUUACGACUAGGGCCCCGAUUUGGGUUAUGAUAAACUUGGUAUCAAAGCACGGUUCAUGGUUCUAGGGUGUCUGCGAAAUUGCGUCGGGUAGAGUCUUGUUUAUGGGUGUGUAGCAUGCCACACUUAUAAGUAGGAGGCUACAAGGCAUUUAAGAAUAUUAUUUUUUCUUCAUGUUCUAGUUCGUGCUAGGGAGUCAAAAUAUUCCUUUUUCAUACUCUAGUUUGUGCUAUGGUGUCGUCCAUACUAAAGUAAAGUUAUCCCAAUUUUUUUCUUACUCUAUUGUCCUUAGAUAUGUCUUAUUUUUUAGGUGAUUAAGUACAAAAGCUUAGAAUCCAAAUGAUGUGGUCCUUUUCUGAUUGAGUUAUUAAAGAUAAAUUUGCAUAAGGACUUGAGAAGAGACCGUUAGUGCUUCAAGGUGUAUUGAUUUUAGUGUAAACUUUGAUUCUGAUAAAAUCAUGCUUUUCAGCUUGAGGUAUUAAGUGUAUUCAGUCCUUUUCAAAAUUUAUGUUGCAGAUGUCAUGCAUAAGGGGAGGGAUGUAUAAUGGAAUGUUGAAAUUAUAUUUCGAUUUGAGUAGUAGUAUAAGUUAAAAGUGUCAUGACCUACUGGUAGUGAGAUAUGACCAAGAAGCUGGUGAUAUAAAGUCACAAGGUUAGAAGUCAGAGUGAGGGUGACUUUUAUGCAUAUAAAUAUUUUAGUUGUAUAAUCAUUGAUUGAGGGAUGAUUUUCCAUUUUAUAGUGAUAGACUAAUGUGGUAGUAAUAUAUGUAGAUUGUAAGGUAUUCGAUAAAGGAAGUGUUUGGCUGUGAUUAUUAUUUAUUCAAGAAUAGGGAAGGAUCCUAGAGUCGAUAGUUAUGGUGGUUAUAGAAAUCCCUUGUAGGUUGUGAAAGGAAAUGUUUAGAUUUUCCAAUAAGUUAUAAGUAUAGACUCAUUGUUGUUUGUGGAAUUUGAAGGUAGUCUACAUGCAUGCUUGGGUAAGUAAGUAUGAUAUGAGAAAAAGAAAUAUGUAGAUAAGAUUCUAUAAGGUUAUAAUAUAAUAUUAAGGUUGACCAUGCCUAUUAUGUGACCUUACCCUCCUUGACUUUCUUUUUUUAGUAGUUGUAAACUAGUACUUCUAUUGAGAAGGUAUGUAGUAGAUUUUGAGGUGUAGUAGUAAUGUCAUGGAAGUGAUUUGGUUACAGGUAGUAUCUAGGGAAAUGGGGUAUAUGGGUAGAAUUUUCAAAUUUGAUGGACUAGCAUAUUGUGUUUCACUCUUCAUUGGUGGUAAAUGAUUGAUGCCAGACUAUAGGCUUGAAUUUUAGAUGUAAAAUAAGGUGGUAAGAAUAGUAGCUUAAGAUUAAUGGUGUAUGUUGUGUGGGAAUAAAUUCGUAGGCUUGAUAUGAUGUGUGAAAUGGACUAGGUUGAUAAUUUGUGAAAAGUUUAAGUGGUAAUUGAGGGGUAUAUGUGUAUAUGAAGACUAGCGUUAAAAUAAUGAAUUGUGGGUGAGUCAUUAAGUGGAUAAUGGCGUAAGUAUAUAAGAAUAAGUUGCACCCCCUGGUAGUAUGGUGUUACUCGUUAGGUAAGAUUUUAUGCUAUGGGAUAUGUGGUUACCGGUCUAAUGCUAGAAGGUUAAGUAGUAGAGAGUGGAUUUUUAUGUGAUACAAAGUGAAGUUGUGUAUGAUCAUGAGACUGCGUGUUGUAGGUUGAUAACGAUAGAGGAUAGCAAAAAAUUAAGAGUAGUGUUCUGGAGAAGCAAUACCUUUAGAGCAUACUUAAAAAGAAAAAGUUUAGCAUUCAUGUGGAUAAGUGUUUUACGUACCUAGUUUGUGUUCUUAAAAUUAUCGUAUGGAGAAGUCUGGUGAGUUGUUGGUCGGUGUUUGUUAGAGUUGAAUUGAGGAAAUACUGGUAGGCAAUAUGAACCUUGGGUAUGAUUUACAAAUUUUGUUAAGUUGUAAGUUAUGUGAUUAGAGGCGUAAUACGAGUAUUCUAAGGAGUUGAGGCUAGAGUGUUAAGUUUUUAGAAGCGUGGGUGUCCAUGCCCAUAAUAGUGUUAGCCACAAGUUGGUGACUUUGGGUGUUAGAGGAAGUUUUGAUUAGUGUUCCUGACAGUUGUCCUAGAAAGAAUUUAGUGUCAUUGUAUUAGAAAUAAAUAAGAGAAGUUGUAUUCAUAUGUAUAUUGGUAUCCCUUUUGUGAUAAGAAGUGUGAAUGCGUACGCUCAUGGGAGUGAGAGUUGUAUAGUGAGGGCUAUAGAGGUUAGCAAAAGUUAAGAGAUGCAUUUUUUUCGAAAGGCAAGGCCUUCAGAGUAUAGUUCUCCAGGGAUAUUUUAGAGUUUAAGUAUCUGGUGAUGUCUCUUUUAUGUUGAGAGUUGUGGCUAUAGAAUUGGUAAGGGGAUAUGUUCGUAAGUCUAAGAUUGUGAGUUUAAUCUAAGGGGGAGAUGGAGAAGCAAGUUAGUUCUCGAAUUUUUCUCAAUGUGGCAAGUUGCGGGAAGGAGUCAUGAUGAACCUAAUUCUACACAAGCAUAAUCCUCCUACUUCAAUUAGGAGAGUAUCCUGCUAAUGUAAUAUGCCAUAUAUUCAUGUCUUGCCUAUGCCUAAAGUUUGAACUCUCUGUGUAACAUAUGUCAUGUUCCGACCUCCAAACACAAAGCAAUAAUAUCCCUCAGUGAUCUAAUAUUUCGAGUAUCCAAGCCAUAUGUUGUGUUGUUCGUGAUCCAUGAAAAUCUAUGUCUCUCAGCAUGUUUGGCCCUAAGAAAAUAUAUUUCAAUAUGUUGCGGAAUCAUCUUAUGCCGGAAUUAGCCAAAGUGAUAAUAUUUAUGCUAACUCAUGGAAAAUUUUUAGCUCUUUGAAUGAGAAGCAAUCACUUUAAGUGAAAUCCUUGUCUUAGUUGUGAAUGACAUAAAUUUCGGUGUUAUGCCAUAGAGCUCAUGAUAUAUGUAUCCAUAUUUCUCAUUUUGGUCGGUCUUAAGGAAAUCAUGUUGUGUUGUUUUUAGGCCAAAUAACUCUUUACUUAUGAUCUGAAUGGUUGAUAUCUGAAGCACUCUGUGUCUAUUCUAUCGUAUCUUCACUUCAUGUCCCUCCUCAAGUAGUGCAAUAAGUAUGAGUGAUGAUCUGAUAAUGUAACUUCCAUUCAUGGUGUUUAUGCUCGGAUCCCUUAAUGACCCUCUGUAUCUUAGUAUGAUGGUGGUUGUGGAAGUGUAGUAGUGUGUUAGGUAUAGGAGUAGAUGUUCUUGAAGGUGAAAAAUUUGAUGUGAUUCUCGAGCUGAGGUUAUGGGUGAAAGAGAAAAGAAAGAGAUACACUUUUGUUGUGCGAAAUGGCUAAGAAGGAGAAAUAUGGUGACAAUCUUUGUGAAAGUGAUCGAAUUUGCUGAUCUUAGUGCGGGAAAUCCAUGUAGUGGGUGUAGUAAUGAUUAGGCUUGAAUGUUUUGGUUGCUAAAAAUGUAAAUCUAUGUGCUAUGUGGUUGGUACUAUCUAAAAUAGAUCUUGAGUGUGUGUGACGAUAGUGAUAAGAUGAAGAAAUAUUCUUAAAGGGAUGUAAAGUAUAGGGUCCCGUAGCUUAAGCUAGCACUUCUAUUCUCUUAGACUUAAACAUAGGAGUAUUAUACUGUAGGACUCAAAUUCUUAUGACUAGACGUGUGGUUGGGGAAUUUUAAGUUGUAAGUGUGAAGUAUGCUAUUUAAUGUUUGGUGGGUAUAUGAUUAGUGCCUUUAAGUUUAAGUCUAUUCGUGGUACUCUGUAAGGUUGAGAAUGCUUUAAAUACUAUUUUCUGUGAAAUCUUAUUCAUUAUAAGUUCCAAUAUAAAUCAGGUCUAUAAUUAUCAAAUAAACCCAUAACACAUGUGGUGAUGAUAAUGAUUCUUAGAACUCAUGUCCAAGAUCAUCCCUAUGUGAAGUCCCAUUGCCUCAUAUUUCGUGCUUACACGUUCCUCUAGGGGUUAUCAUGAAGCUCGGUAGAUGCCUUUGCAUAUUUUGUGAUGGAAGAAUGUUCAAUACGAGGUUUCAUUCUUUAUUCUACAUUUUUAUAACUUCAACAAGUCCCUACCCAUCAUUCGGGGAUAAAUGAUCACAAGGGGGAGAUAAUACAACAUUCCGUAUUUUCGAGCUAGAAAGAGAACCAUCGUUCCUACGUGCAUAAGCUCUAAUUCCAUGUUUUUUUAUUUAAAUUCAUGUGUCAUGAUCCUUCUCCGAGUAUAUGAAGUGGUUAUGAGGUGAAAAUGUUCAUAGAAAUGGACUAAAGCAAAGUUGAGCUAAAAACCCUUCAUCCAUCCAAAAUUUGAUAUUCGAUUCUACUAGGGUUAUCUUUUAAUGAUUAUAACUUUUUUAUAUAUAGAAUUUGGUAGAUUAAGACCCACCAAAUUAUAGAUAAUCGAAUUAGCUCUUCAACGAUACCAAUUUUGCCUUAAUCCAACGUCUGAGCGAAAAGUUAUGUCAUUUUUCGUGUGAGGCAGUAAGGGAUCGUGAUAGCCCCGCGCGCGAGAUCUGCUUGACCCAAAUAGGGGUCACGUCAUAAGGGCUACUUAAACCAACUAAGGGUCAUGAUGUGGGGGCUAUUCCCGCACAGUUUUAGCUUCUUAAUGGUCAAGGGUCACUUUGGUCCUUUCCCCUCGACCCCAAACGUCCAUAACACAGAAUUUCAGCCCCAAAACAGUACUUUAGCCCAAAAUUCAUAUUCUCCCCAAAUUGAAAUCAUCCUCUUUUUCCCAAUAUUACAAAAACCCUAACUCCUAAGCUAAGAUCUCAAGAAACGAAUCAAAAUCUGGAUUCCAAGUAUCAAGAUUCAGAUUCCAUCUUUCAAAUCUCGUAAGCUAAGGUACGUAGGGUUUUCAUAAAUCUACAUGGGCAUAAUAAAACUAUUUCAACAGCAUUUAAACAUUGUGAAAUCAUAAAUUCUUGAAGGGGUUUUGGAAUAUACAUUACACUUGUACAUUAUGAACUCUUAAAUGAUACUAUUGCUUUUGUCUUGAGAGUCUUCCCUUAGAAAAUUGAACUCUUACUUAUAUAUAUAUAUAUAUAUAUAUAUAUAUAUAUAUAUAUAUAUAUAUAUAUAUAUAUAUAUAUAUAUACACGCGAUAAAAAGAGAGUUNNNNNNNNNNNNNNNNNNNNNNNNNNNNNNNNNNNNNNNNNNNNNNNNNNNNNNNNNNNNNNNNNNNNNNNNNNNNNAACUCUCAUAUAUAUAUAUAUAUAUAUAUAUAUAUAUAUAUAUAUAUAUAAAUUCAUUCACUUGAUGAAUUUAAAUAUUAAAUUGAGAGCAUCAAUUAUUAGAAAUCCCUCUCUCGUUUAAAGGUUUCUUGUUUUCGUAAGCCAUGAUUAUUUGAAUGUAUUUUGAGAAGCAUGAUUACAAAUGCCUUGAUUAUUGUUUAUGACUUGAUUAUGGUUUUGAUUUGAAGAGGGGGGGGGGGUUUACAUGUUGAUAAAUGCUGAAAGUAUAUAAUGAAAGAAUUGCAUGGUUUUAUCAAAAAUACAUAUCCACCAUAGGUUUGUUAGAAUUAUUGAAAAGAUGAGAAUCUUUGCAUGGUUUUGACUUAUAUUUUGAAAUAUGAAUUCUCUUAUACUUGUCUGAAUGUUUUGGUGGUCUGAACAUUAUUUUAAAUGAACGAAUCUUGCAUGAUACCUUAUGGCUCAAAAUUUUGACUUGUAAGUCUUGGUAUGACGAUACCAAUUCAGAUAAUGCCAUAGUAACACAGAACAAAACAGAGUGUGGAUUUUCUUUUAGAUUUUCAAAUUUUGAACUUAGAAUGAUACAAGUUCAUAAAAGGCUAAAAUAGGCAUAAAAAGAUGUUAGGUGGUUACCUGAAGAAGGCACGAGCUCAGAAAAGUCAUUACCCGAGACUGUGUUUUGCCUAUACGAGAAUAUUAUGUCUCCUAAAGGGAUUAAUUGCUGGCCUAGUGCCCUGUGGUGUAUCAAAAUUAGAAACUCCAACUCUUGCAUUAAACUUGGGUUGGGGGCUUGGUCGUCGAGCUAAGGUCGGACUCCAUAUAGAUCGUGGAGUUGUAGAAUUGUAGGGUGUACCAUCUAAUGCAGAAGUAAUACAAAGAUUAGAACUGUAUUGUCAAAAAAAAUCAUUUUAUGAUCACUGAAACUGCCAAUGUGUUUUUAACUAUUUUAUGCAUGAUAUUUUAGGUUUUCUCUCAUCUAUGUUAUAUAAAUGUAGACACAUUAUUUUGGAUUGCUCUGCGUACCAGUACAUCUGUAUUGGCCUCCUAUAUUUCAAGGUUUGAGGCUCAAUCUAGAGGUCCUGCUAAGCCGUAGAAUUUUUAGACAGAAAAGAAGUGCAUUGUUGGUGAGUCUUCUUUUUUCCGGAAAGCGUAUUUCAUUUUAGUCAUUUAUUAAUUAGUUUGGUUUUGAUCCACUGGGGUCCUUGUCCCAGAUUCAGAUAGUUUAUUGAUGUCGUAUGUAGUAUAUAUUUUGCAGACUGAAAAAGAUGUUGAUGAACUUAUUUUCGUAUUAUUAAACAGAUUUUAGAAUAUGACCAUGAUUUCAUUUAUUUUACUUCCACAUCUUUUUUUUAUUAUUCGAGAUUUGUGCAUGAUGACCAGAGAUAGAAGAGUGAUCGAAUCACUAUGGUUCGAGAUGGUCUUCACGGUUAGGGCCUCAAUUUGGGUUGUGACAAACUUGGUAUCAAAGCAUGGUUCAUGGUCUUAGGGUGUCUGCGAAAUUGCGUCGAGUAGAGUCUUAUUUAUGAGUGUGUAGCGUGCCACACUUAUAAGUAGGAGGCUACAAGUCGUUUAAGAAUGUUUUUUUUUCUUCAUGUUCUAGUUUGUGCAAUGGAGUUAGAAUAUUCCUUUUUCAUAAUUUAGUUUGUGCUAUGGUGUCGUCCAUACGAAUGUAAAGUUAUCCUAAUUCUUUUCUUACUCUAUUGUCCUUAGAUAUGUCUCAUUUUUUAGGUGAUUAAGUACAAAAGCUUAGAAUCCAAAUGAUAUGGUCCUUUUCUGAUUAAGUUAUAAAAGAUUAUAAAAUUGUGCAAGGACUUGAGAAGAGUCCGUUAGUGCUUCAAGGUGUAUUGAUUCUAGUGUAAACUUUGAUUUUGAUGAAAUCGUCCUUUUCAGCCUGAGGUAUUAAGUAUAUUCAGUCCUUUUCAAAAUUUAUGUUGUAAAUGUCAUGCAUAAGGGGAUGGAUAUAUAGUGGAAUGUUGGAACUGUAUUUCCACCUGAGUAGUAGUAUAAGUUAAAGUGUCAUAACCUACUAGUAGUGAGAUAUGACCAAGAAGCUGGUGAUAUGAAGUCACAAGGUUAGAAGUCAGAGUGAGGGUGACUUUUAUGCAUAUAAAUAUUUUUAAUUGUAUAACCAUUGAUUGAGGAAUGAUUUUCCAUUUAAUAGUGAUGGACUAAUGUGGUAGUAAUAUUUGUAGAUUGUAAGGUAUUCGAUAAAAUAAGUGUUUGGCUAUGAUUAUUAUCUAUUCAAGAAUAGAGAAAGAGCCUAGAGUGGAUAGUUAUGGUGGUUAUGGAAAUCCCUUGUCGAUUGUGAAAGGAAAUGGUUAGAUUUUCCAAUAAGUUAUAAGUAUAAACUCAUUGUUGUUUGUGGAAUUUGAAGGUAGUCUAAAUGAAUGUUUGCGCAAGUAAGUAUAAUAUGAGAAAGUAGAAUAUGUAGAUAAGAUUCUAUAGGGUUAUAGUAUAAGAUUAAGGUUGACCAUGCCUAUUGUGUGACCUUACCCCCCUUGACCUUCUUUCCUUUAGUAGUUGUAAACUAGUACUUCUAUUGAGAAGGUAUGUAGUAGAUUUUGAGGUGUAGUAGUAAUGUCAUGGAAGUGAUUUGGUUAUAAGUAGUAUCUAGGGAAAUGGGGUAUAUGGGUAGAAUUUCCAAAUUUGAUGGACUAGCAUAUUAUGUUUCACUCUUCAUUGGUGGUAAAUGAUUGAUACCAGACUAUAGUCUUGAAUUUUAGAUGUAGAAUGUGGUGGUAAGAAUAGUAGCUUAAGAUUAAUGAUGUAUGUUGUGUGGAAAUGAAUUCGUAGGCUUGAUGUAAUGUCUGAAAUGGCCUAGGUUGAUAAUUUAUGAAAAGUUUAAGUGGUAAUUUUGGGGUAUGUGUGUAUAUGAGGACUAGCAUUAAAAUGAUGAAUUGUGGGUGAGUCAUUAAGUAGAUAAUGACGUAAGUAUAUAUGAAUAAGUUGCAUCCCUUGGUAGUAUGGCGUUACUCUUUAGGAAAGAUUUUAUGCUAUGGGAUAUGUGGUUAAUGGUCUAAUGUUAGAAGGUUAAGUAGUAGAGAGUGGAUUUUUAUGUGAUACAGAGUGAGGUUGUGUAUGGUCAUGAGACUAUGUGUUGUAGGUUGAUGACGAUAGAGGAUAGCAAAAAAAAUUAGAGUAGUGUUCUGGAGAAGCAAUGUUAGAGCAUACUUAAAAAGGGAAAGUUUAGCAUUUAUGUGGAUAAGUGUUUUACAUACCUAGUUUGUAUUCUUUAAAUUAUAGUAUGGAGAAGUUUGGUGAGCUGUUGUUCAAUGUUCGUUAGAGUUGAAUUGAGGAAAUAAUGGUAGGCAAUAUGAGCUUUGGGUAUGAUUUUACAAAUUUUAUUAAGGUGUAAGUUAUGUGAUUAGAGGUGUAAUGCGAGUAUUCUGAGGAGUUGAGGCUAGAUAUUAAGUGUUUGGAAAUGUGGGUGUCCAUACCCAUAAUAGUGUUAGUCAUAAGUUGGUGACUUUGGGUGUUAGAGAAAGUUAUGAUUAGUGUUCCUGAGGUUGUCCUAGAAAGAAUUUAGUGUAAUUAUAUUAGAAAUAAAUGAGAGGAGUUGGAUUCAUAUGUAUAUUGGUAUCCCUUUUAUGAUAAGAAGUGUGAAUGCGUAUGCUCAUGGGAGUGAGAGUUGUAGAGUGAGGGCUAUAGAGGUUAGCAAAAGUUAAGAGAUGCAUUUUUUUCGAAAGGCAAGGCCUUCAGAGUAUAGUUCUCCAGGGAUAUUUUAGAGUUUAAGUAUCUGGUGAUGUCUCUUUUAUGUUAAGAGUUGUGGUUAUAGAAUUGGUAAGGGGAUAUGUUUGUAAGUCUAGGAUUGUGACUUUAAUCUAAGGGGGAGAUGGAGAAGCAAGUUAGUUCUCGAAUUUUUCUCAAUGUGGCAAGUUGCGGGAAGGAGUCAUAAUGAACCUAAUUCUACACAAGCAUAAUCCUCCUACUUCAAUUUAGGAGAGUAUCCUGCUAAUGUCUUACGUUAUUUAUUCAUGUCUUGCCUAUGCCUAAAGUUUGAACUCUCUAUGUAACUCAUGUCAUGUUCCGACCUCCAAACAAGAAGCAAUAAUGUCCCUCAGUGAUCCAAAAUUUUGAGUAUCCAAGCCAUAUGUUAUGUUGUUCGUGAUCCGUGAAAAUCUAUGUCUCUCAGCAUGUUUGGCCCUAAGAAAAUAUGUUUCUACAUGUUGCGGAAUCAUCUUAUGCCAGAAUUACCCAAAGUGAUAAAGUUUAUGCUAACUCGUGGAAAAAUUUUAGCUCUUUGAAUGAGAAGCAAUCACUUUAAGUGAAAUCCUUGUCUUAGUUGUUAAUGACAUAAAUUACGGCGUUAUGCCAUAUAGGUCAUGAAAUAUGCAUUUCAUAUUUCUCAUUUUGGUCGGUCCUAAGGAAAUCAUGUUGUGUUGUGUUCGUGUCGAAUGACUUUUUACUUAUGAUCCGAAUGGUUGAUAUCUGAAGCAUUCCGUGUCUAUUCUAUCGUAUCUUCAAUUUAUGUCCCUCCUCAAGUAGUGCAAUAAGUAUGAGUGAUUGUAUGAUAAUGUUACUUCCAUUCAUGAUGUUUAUGCUCGGAUCCUUUAAUGACCCUCUUUAUGUUUGUAUGAUGGUGGUUGUGGAAGUGUAGUAGUGUGUUAGGUAUGGAAAUAAAUGUUCUUGAAGGUGAAAAAUUUGAUGUGAUUCUCGAGCUAAGGUUGUGGGUGAAAGAGAAAAAAAGGAGAUGAACUUUUGUUGUGCGAAAUAGCUUAGAAGGAGAAAUGUGGUGACAACCUUUGUGAAUGUGAUCAAAUUUGCUGGUCUUAGUGGGGGAAAUCCAUGUAGUGGGUGUAGUAAUGAUUAGGCUUGAAUAUUUUGAUUGCUGAAAAUGCAAACCUACUAUGUGGUUUAUACUAUCUAAAAUAGAUCUUGUGUGUGUGUGACGGUAGUGAUAAGAUGAAGAAAUAUUCUUAAAGGGAUGUAAAGUACAAGACCCCGUAGCUUAAGCUAGUACUUCUAUUCUCUGAGUUAGUUUUAAACAUAUAAGUAUUAUACAGUGGGACUCAAAUUCUUGUGGCUAGACACGUGAUUGGGGAAUUGUAAGUUGCGAGUGUGAAGUAUGCUAUUUAAUGUUUGGGGUAUAGAUGGUUAGUGCCUUUAAGUUUAAGUCUAUUCGUAGUACUCUGUAAGGUAGAGAAUGCUUCUAAUUCUAUUUUUCGCGAAAUCUUAUUCAUGAUUAGUACCAAUAUAAAUCAGGUCUAUGAUCAUCAAAUAAACCCCUAACAUAUGUGGUGAUGAUAAUGAUUCAUAGAGCUCAUGUGCAAGAUCAUCCAUAUGUAAAGUCUCAUUGCCUCAUGUUUCAUGCUUACACGUUUCUCUAGGGGUUAUCAUGAAGCUCGGUAGAUUCCUUUGCAUAUUUUAUUAAGGAAGAAUGUUCAAUACGAGGUUUCGUUCUUUAUUCUACACUUUUAUAAGUUUAACACCUCCCUACUCAUCAUUCGGGGACGAAUGAUCCCAAGGGGGAGAUAAUGUAACACCCCGCAUUUUCGAGCUAGAAAACGAACCGUCAUUCCUACGUGAGUAAGCUCUAGUUCUAUAGUUUUUAUUUAAAUUCAUGUAUCAUGAUCCUUCUCCUAGUGUAUGAAGUGGUUAUGAGGUGAAAAAUGUUCAUAGAAAUAACCUAAAGCAAUGUUGAGCUAACAACCCUUCAUCUAUCCAAAAUUUAAUAUUCGAUUCUAUAAGGGUUAUAUUUGAACAAGUAUAACUUUUUGUAUAUAUAAGAUUUGACAGAUUAAGACCCACCAAAUUUUAGAUAAUCAAAUUAGCUUUCCAACUAUACCAAUUUCGUUUUAAUCCAACACCUGAGAGAAAAGUUAUGCCAUUUUUUGUGUAAGACAGUAAGGGAUCACGAUAGCCCCGCUACGCGAGGUAUGCUUGACCCAAAUAGGGGUCGUGUUGUGAGGGAUACUUAACCCAACUAGGGGCCGCGACGCGGGGGCUAUUUCUGUACAGUUUUAGCUUCUUAAGUGUCAAGGGUCACUUUGGUCCUUUCCCCUCGACCCCAAACAUCCAUAACACAGAAUUUCAACCCCAAAAGAGCACUUUAGCCCCAAAUUCAUAUUCUCCCCAAAUUGAAAUCAUCCUCCUUUUCUCAAGAACACAAAAACCCUAACUCCUAAGCCAAGAUCUCAAGAAACGGAUCAAAAUCCGGGUUCCAAGUAUCAAGAUUUGGAUUCCAACUUUUAAAUCUCAUAAUCUAAGGUACGUAAGGUUUUUCUAAAUCUACAUGGGCAUAAGAAAAUCGUUUCAACAAUAUUUAAACAUUGUGAAAUCAUGAAUUCUUAAAGGGGUUUUGGAAUUUACAUUACAAUUGUGCAUUAUGAACUCUUAAAUGCUAUUAUUGCUUUGGUCUUGAGGCCUUCCUCUAGAAAAUUGAACUCUAACUUUUAUAUAUAUCUAUAUCUAUAUAUAUAUAUAUAUAUAUAUAUAUAUGCAUGCACUUGAUGAAUUUAAAUAUUGAAUUGAGAGCAUCACUUUUUGGAAAUCCCUCUCCCGUUUAAAGAUUUCUUGUUUUCGUAAGCCAUGAUUAUUUGAAUGUAUUUUGAGAAGCAUGAGUACAAAUGUCUUGAUUAUUGUUUAUGACUUGAUUAUGGUUUUGAUUUGAAGAGAGGGGGUUUUAUAUGUUGAUAAAUGCUGAAAGUAUAUAAUGAAAGAAUUGCAUAGUUUUGUCAAAAAUACAUGACCACCACAGGUUUGUUGGAAUUGUUGAAAAGAUGAGAAUCUUUGCAUGGUUUUGACUUAUGUUUUGAAAUAUGAAUUCUCUUAUACUUUUCUGAAUGUUUUGGUGGUCUGAAUAUUGUAUUAAAUGAAAGAAUCUUGCAUGAUACCUUAUGGCUCAAAAUUUUGACUUGCAAGUCUUGGUAUGACGAUACCAAUUCAGAUAAUGCCAUAGUAACACAGAACAAAACAUAGUGUGGAUUUUCUUUCAGAUUUUCAAAUUUUGAACUUAGAAUGAUACAAGUUUAGAAAAGGCUAAAAAUGGGCAUAAAAAGAUGUUAGGUGGUUACUCGAAGAAGGCACGAGUUCAGAAAACUCAUUGCCCAAAAUCUUGUUUUGCCGAUACGGGAUUAUUAUGUCCCCUAGAGGGAUUAUACACUGGCCUAAUGCCCUGUGGCGUAUCAGAAUCAGAAACUCCAACUCUUGCGGCAAACUUGGGUUGGGGGCUUGGCCGCUGAGUUAAGGGCAGACUCCAUAUAGCCUGUGAGGUUGUAGAAUUGUAGGGUGUACCACCUAACUCGGAAGUAAUAUAAAGAUUAGAACUGUAAUGUCAAAAAAAUCAUUUUAUGAUCACUAAAACUGCCCAUGUGUUUUUAACUAUUUCAUGUAUGAUAUUUCAGACUUGCUCUCAUUUAUGUUAUAUAUAUAUGUAAACACAUUAUUUUGGAUUGCUCUGUGUACCAGUAUAUCUGUAUUGACCCCCUAUAUUUCAGAGUCUGAGGCUCAGUCUAGAGGUCCUGCUAAGCCGUAGAAUUUUCAGACAGAAGAGAAGUGUGCUGUUGGUGAGCCUUCUUUAUUUCGGAAGGCCUAUUUCAUUUCAGUCAUUUGUUAAUUAGUAUGGUUUUGGUCCACUGGGGGCCUUGUCCCAGAUUCAAAUAGUUUAUUAAUGUCGUAUGUAGUAGAGAUUUCACAGACUGAAAAAGAUGUUGUCUAGAUAUUGAUGAACUUAUUUCCGUAUUGAAUAACAGAUUUCAGAAUAUGCCCAUGAUUCCGUUUAUUUUACUUCCGCAUCUUUUCUUUAUUAUUUGAGUUUUGUGCAUGAUGACUAGAGGUAGAAGAGUGUCCGAAUCACUAUGGUUUGGAAUGCUCGUCACGGCUAGGGCCCCGAUUCGGGUCGUGACAGUAGAUUUUAAGUUGGGUUGAAUAUUUAGACAUUAUUAUUUAUUUAUUUUAAUUAUAUUUAAACUUACAAUUGCAAAGAAGAUCUCGUUAAAUUAAAUCGAAUCAAACUGUAUAUAGGCCUCUAAUUAUAUUUAUUAGAUUGAUUAAAAUAUUAUUUCAACAAUGAGUUACGAGUCAAAUAAUAAUUUUUGAAGCACUUGUUCGUGGUGAAACUUGAGUGAACUUUUUUUAAAAUUCAUUUUAAGUAAUCAAUCAAAUUUACUUUUAUAUAAUCUAACUCUAAAUAAAUUAUAUUUGAAACUUACAAGUUAGAACAUAUAAAAUUAAAUCAAAUAAACAAUCAAUAUAUAAAUACAUAAAAUUGAUAAAAUAUUGUCUCAAUCAAUUAAAUUUGAGUUAACAAUAAUUAUCAAAAUACUUGUCAAAAUAAGUUUAAGGAAAACUUAGUGCAAUUUUGUACUUUAAAUUUGAUAUAAUUACUUAAUAAAAUUAAGGUUAGAUAUAACCACCUUGUACUGAAAUCAAAUUUAAAACAUACAAAUAUGUCAAUAAAAUUGAAUCAAAUUGGACGAUAAACAUUUAUAGUUAUACUAAAAUGUAUUUGUAUUGUUCUUAUAGAAUAUAUUCGAGUCAAAUGACAAUUCUCGAAGCACCUUAUCUAGGCGAAGCUUGAGUUUGAAUUAAUGAGCUUGAUUUUAUUAAAUCAAAUAUGAUUAAUUAAUCAAAGUUAAUUAUACAUAACAUAAUUUCUAUCUAUUUAUUAUAUUUGAAACUUACAAUUAGUACCUUGUAAAAUUGAAUCCAAUAACAAGAUAAAUAACUUCGAUUAAACUAACUUGAUAAAGGUAUUGUUCAAUAGGAAAGGUCAGAGUCGCCAAGUGACAUAAAAUAAUUAUUUCUCAUAUGGUGUAUUGUAUCAUAAUGUUUGUCUGUUUAAUUUACUUUAUGCAUCUGUUUUAUGAAUUAAUCUAUUUAGAUACUAUUUAAUUUAUGAGUAUUUACUUCUAUGAUGCCUUGUAAGAAAAUCAAAUUAUAAAAAAUUAUCACAACUUAAUUACUGUAUUGAUAUUAUUAUUAAUUUUAUAACAACUUUAAUUGUAUGAAAAAUAGUUAUUUAAAAUGACUAAAAGAUUUCAAUUGCUAUAACAGAUUUCAACUCAUGAUAAAAUCUAAUACAAUUAUGAAUUUUAUCGCAAUAACAACUUCAUGGUUAUAUAAGCAUUUCAUCAUGAUAAAUAAUUGUAGUUAGUAAGUCAACUAUUGUCACUCUUUUUAUAACUUGAAGUAAAAAUAUUUAUUUAGUUUUAAAUUAUUUAGUUGUAGCUAAAAGAUCACUGUUGCUACGAUAAAAUUUAAUUUGUGAUAAAAAAUAGUAAUUAGCUACCAAAUUUUAUUAUAUCCAAAUAUUUGUGGUAAUAUGAUUAAUUAUUGCCAAAAUUAUUUUAUAACCUGCAGAAAAAAAAUAAAUUUUAGCUACAAUAUUUUGUUUCAAAUAAUUUAUUGUGACUAAAAGGUUACUAUCGCUACAGUAACUUAUAUCAUGUGGCAAAAACUUAUGAUCAGCUAUAAAAUUUUAUUGUAACUAUAAAGUUGUAGCUAUUUAGGUAAUUAUUGCCAUGAUAGUUAGCAAUUAUAGCAAAAAUAAGGAAUUAACUUUUUCAAUUUAAUUUUCAUGGCUAUGAAAUUUUAUAAAUUUAUAGAUAGCUACGAAAUUUUUAAUUUCAUGGCUGUUACUAGGUAACAACUACAAAUUUUGAAUUCAUGGCUUAGAUUUCGUAACUACAGAUACAAUUUGUUGUAGUUUUCAUGCAAAUUAAGAUUUCACUAUUAAAAUGCAUGAUAACACCAAUAAAAAGUCUUUGGAAGAGGUUAUUAGACAGGACAUGACUCAAAUGCAGCUUAUCAAGGAUAUGACCAUUGAUAGAAAGAUAUGGAGAUUGAGAAUUAUAGUAGAAUGUUAGUAGGUGGUUGUCCAUCGUCUACAUUCCUUACAAGUUUUGUCAUUAUUAUCUCCUACUACUAUUGUAUUUCACUAUCUUAGUAUUAUUUGUUGUUUCCUUUGCUUUGAUUAGCAAAUUAUUUGUUGUCAAUGCUACUCUCUUCUUUAGAAUCUUCGAUCUGCAUUUGCUUUACGUAAUUGAUUAUUUUUUAUAUGUUUUACUCGAGCAGAAUGUUCAUAAGAUAGUAAGAUUGUGUACACCACCCUCCUCAAGCUCCAUUUAUGAAAUUACAGUAAAUUUAUUUUUAUUGUUCUAUAUUAAUCUAUUAACAUACUUGACUUAGAAAAUAUAUGACACAAUCUCUUCUUCCUUCCCCAAUGGUCCCCCACCAUUAUUACAAAUUGGUCGCAUUUCCCCGCUGAAAGCUUCGAUCUCACCUUGAAAAAAAACACUAUAAUUUUCUGUUAUCGAACUCCCCAAAAUUAUGCUUCUAGGUAUAUUCGAGGCAAAUAAUAAGAUUCUAGGCUGGAAUCUUGAAAAAAGACAACCUAUAUUUUGAUUCAAAAUCAAAGUUUCAUGUGAGGUAUUCCUUUCUAAAAUUUUCUUUUUUUUGGUUAAAAUUUUUGGUAUUUUAUUUAUGUCUCAAACAAUUACAAGAUCAAAUGGCCCACCAAACAUCACAAAGCAAAAAGAAGAUCCAACAGCCCAAUCUGUCUAGUCCAAAUCUCACAUCCUUUAUUACAUAUAAAAAUAAAUAGGGAUUCCUAACUCCUUUCUUUCCCAAUCCCUCUCACACCUGCACGAUGUUUCCGCACACCUCAGUUCCUAGUUGGUACUUCUGCUCCUUUGGGUUAUCAUAUUUUGCCCGAAGAUUCUUCGUUGUCCUUUAUAUCAGCUUUCAAGAGUAAGAUUCCCAUCCUUUUGCUCAUGUUUCCAAGUAAUUCCUUGUACUGACCUUGUCUUGUUUCAGUUGUGUUUUGUGAUAGAUGGAUAUGGUAUCUUCUUUUUACUGAGGGUGCUCGUUUAAUAUUGCAAGGAUUCAUCACUAGGUAAGUAACUAUACGACUCACUCUUUGAUUGCCCUGUGAAACACUGUAUGCUUUAGCCUUCCCCUCCCUUUCAUCCUUUGGUUGAUAAAAUUCUUAAGUAGGGGCUUCUUAAUUUAUCACUUUUUAUGAUUUUUCUUCCUUCCACUUCCAUGCUCUUAAAACUUUGAUAUCUGCAAUUAUCCCUGUUUAUGGCAUGAUUUGCUAGAUAAUCCGCUAACUUGUUACCUUUUCGAUAGAUAUAUUGUAUGGCUGUCUGCUUUCCUUGUAUGUUUACUGUAAUUUCUGCAAUGAUAGCUGUGAUGCUCCAUGGACAUGACCACUCCCCUAUUAAAAGUUUCUAAAGUAAUAAGAAGUCAGUCUGUAAAAUCACCUUGUCAUAACUUGAUUGCUUGCAAUGUAUACUAGCUUUCAACAUUGCUGUAGGUUAUACCACUGUAUUUGUUGUUUCCUCCAUUCUGGAUGCCUCAAAAAAUAUUAAAUCACGUUCCUCGUUCUUUAAACAAAAUGCAUAAGAACUAACUCCUGGAUUUCCCUUUGAAGCACCAUCAGUAUUGUACUUAACCCAUCCCUGAUUUGGAAACUCCCACAAAACCUUUGUAACUUCAAUUCCAGCUUUUAUUCUCUCCAAAUCCUUCAAUAUAUCCGACCAUCCUCUCUUAAAAAUUCUUCCAGGCUUUCUAAUUUUCAGCAACUUAUGCAUUGUUCUAAUCACAUUAUGAAUAACUGUCUGCACAGAAAUAUUCUUUUCUUCAUGCUUACUUAUAUUCCUUCUAUUCCAUAAUUCUCAUACUAUAAUACUAGGCAUAGUUUUAUCGUCUGCUUUGAUUCCUUUCGCCAUAUCUGCUUCUCACCAUAACAUGACAACCAAGAGAGACCUUCAAUAUUAAAACCUGCAAAGGAACAAAAUAGUACCAAGUCCUGUUAGCAGUACCACUCCUUAAGAAAAUAUAUGCCAUUGUCUCCUGGUGAGGAUUAACACAACACUAUCACUUUGAGGGACCUUGCAUACCACACUUCCUGAUUCUGUCAUCCACCGAGAUAUAAAAUUUCCACAUUCUCCACAUUAGAAAAAUCAUUUUGAAAGGUAAGCCUUUCACCCACAUUCGCUUAUAAAUUUUAUUAGGCUCCUCUUCGUGUCUUGUUGACACCCAAUUUUGACUUUUCAUACUUAAAAUUAACGCAUUUUGGCUUCCUGAUCGUUAAAUGACACAAACGACAAUUUUUCACAUAUUUUUUGCAAUUAUUAAUAAAUUCUUGAUAAUCAUCAUUAUUUUAGGAUUUUUUACUAAUUUAUUGUCAUAUUUUAAUUUUACAUAAUUUAUUGAUAAUUAUCUUUAAUUUCGCAAAUUUUAGAAUUUUUAUCAAUUUAUUAUUAUUUUAAUAUUUUUGCACAGUCAUUUACAUACGUACACAAUAUAACACUGUAUUUUUUUACUGUACAGUAUAAUUUAAAAUAUUUAUAGCAUAAUUUUUUUUAAAAAAAUACUUAUAUUUUUUAUUUGUUAUUUAUAUUUUUUUGUAAUUAUACAUCGGCAUUCAUACUUUUUGUAUAUUAUUUAAUACGACUUACAAAUGUGAGUUAAUUUAAUUAUUUUAAUACACAAAGCAAUAAAUUGAUCAAAUUAAAUCUUAACACUUUUUUUUUUUGACUUUGCUUCUCACCAACUAUCCCUAAUUUAAGGAUUUUGUUGAAAAAAAGGGUAGAUGUGAUUAAAUUUUCUUUUUUCAUGUUUUUCCCUUUUAAAUACACUACACACACAAUCCACAAAGACACACAUAAAAAUCUGCUUCUUUCUCUCUCUUCUUUCUCCUCUCUCUAAAAAAUACUCCACCUAACACUCCACCCACUCCCCAAUUCACUCACCUACCACAAUUUAACAAAUAAUAAUACAACAUACACAAACGGGGCUCCAUCUUUUUCCAUUUUUCUCACACAAUAACAACAAAGACUCCACUAAAAAUACACAGACAGAUAACAUAUGGACACACACAUAUUUCUUCUUUCUUCUCUUCAUCUGUCUUAAAACAAUGCCGCCGCCACUCCAACAUAACUCCCACCAUUUUCAACACUUCCGCCACCCACAACAUCGCCGGCGCCGCCCUUUUCCUUCCCCUAACGUUAGCGCCAGAUCUGUCCGGAAUGAUUUUCUCUGAUAACUUUUUAUUUUUCUCCGGUAACUUUACUAUUUGUUCUUGACAUAUUAAAAAUUCAAAUGUUUGUUAGUAAUGGUAAGGCUUAGAUUUUUUCUUUUCUUUGUGCUACUUGAUGAUUUUUGCAGUUCGUCAUUGUUAUACAUAUUUGUGUUUAUAUGUUGUCUCUUAAACAAUUUUAUUGAUCAGUUUGAUCAAGGUUUUUAGCAAAUUUCAUUAAUGUUGCAAUUUUAUUGUGUUUACUAUUCUUUAUAACAUUUUUAUUGAUGUUACUUUAAUUGUUCUUUGUUAUUUUAUGAUGUUGCUAUUUUAAUACUUAUUAUUAUGAGUUUCUAUUAUUAUCUAUGUUACAACUUAUUCUAUGUUACUAUCCUAAGGGGCCGUUUGGUUUGCAAAUAAUUUUGGGAUAAAAUAAUAAUUUCGAGAUAAAAUUUUUAAUUUUGGGAUAAAAUAAUAAUUUCGGGAUAAAAUUUUUUAUCCGUCGUUUGAUUGUAAAUAUUUGGGAUAACUUAUGUCGGGACUAAUAAUUAAUCCUGAGAUAAGUUAUCCAUCCAAAUGGUAGGAUAACAAUCCUGGGGUUAUUUUUCUUUGGUAUAAAAUUAUACAAGGACAAAAAUACCCUCUUGGGAUUGUUAUAUAUAAUCAAACAUAAUUAAUAUAAUUUAACAUAAUAUAUUAUAAUUAAAUAUAUUAACAUAAUAUAUAUAUAAUUAAACAUAAUUAACGUAUNNNNNNNNNNNNNNNNNNNNNNNNNNNNNNNNNNNNNNNNNNNNNNNNNNNNNNNNNNNNNNNNNNNNNNNNNNNNNNNNNNNNNNNNNNNNNNNNNNNNNNNNNGGAAUAGUCCAUUUAUUUAGAAGAUCUAUAUCUUGAGGCAAAUCUACCUUAUAUUCAUAAAUAAUAAAUUAUGUUUAAUUAGCGUAUAAUAUAUUUAUUAAUUAUGAAUAUAAUAUAUUACGUGAUAUAUAAUGUAAUUACAUAAUAUAUAACGAACAAUAUUAUGACUAUAUUUCAGGAUCUCUUAAUAAGCUGGGGCUAAAAACCGGCUAAAAACCACUCAGCCUACCAGACCAAGCAAUAAUAUCGGAUUAAGCUAAAGUCGGAAAAUCGAACCGAAGCACCAACCGAAAUAACAAAGAAAUUUCGAAGUUUCUGACUGUAUGGUAAAUCUUUCACCCGAACAAGGGGCCUGUCAGAGAUCAAACAAUUUUUGUUAGCCCAUGUGUCCAGUUGUUCUAAUUGUGCAAAAAUCGCCCUUUCUUUCCAUCAGUACGGGCUUCAAAGGCACAACUCACUAGACGGAGUCACAGAGACAGAGCUAUCGUAAAACUGUUGAUCUCGACUGUACCUCCAUUUCGGAACCAAGUCGGGAAACCAUAAAAUUUCUUGUAUUAUCUAAGUAGAGUCUGGAUCUUUCAUAGUUCGUAUACUUCGAGAGGUUAGAACUGUUGUAUGAACAUAAAAAAGGAGUCUAGCCGGACAUAGUCACGGCGUAGAUCUGGGAGAAUUAAAGAAGACAACAAAGUAAAAAGUAAAAAUUAAAUAUGUAUGUACCUUGCCGGAGAGUCGCCGGAAUAAUAUUCACAAAGCCAACUUUUAUUGCUUUACUAAGAUUAUUACAAGAGAGAAUAAAAGAGAAUUUCUAAAAACUCCUUGUUCUUUCUCUUCUUUAGAAUGAGGCUCCUUUUAUAGAAGAGAAAAGGAAUCUUACACAGUAAUAUGUGGGACCUGUGCACAGUGUUUUACCACAGUAUUUUGGAACAGUAUUAGCAAUAAUUAUUACAUAUUCAGAAUUAUUUUUGGUGGCCCCAUCGUAGAAAUUCUUCUGCGUUGGCUAAUACUUCGUCUGCAUUCAGGGUUUCUGGUGGCUGGGAAUCCGCGAUAUCAUCAGUGUUUCGCUCCGUGCUAUUCAUAGAUGUGUCCGAAGUUUGUUCGACCGUAUGAAGUAAUUUGUCUCGGACUUCGGCCAGAUAUUCUUCAAUGAGUUGGAGCUUAUUUCCAUCAUGAGCAGAGAUUCUCCGAGAGACAUAAUUGAGUGAUUUAUCUUCAAUUAAAAUAGAAUUUUUGGGUGUUCUUUCAUAUGCGGAGAUUUUGUCCUUGAUUUCUUCCUUUUGGUCAUGUCCAUAGGGAAGUUUGGUGUCGGGGUCUAUUCUGAGCAGUUUAUCCCAGAAAUUACAAUAAAAAGUCCGAUAAAUAGCUGGGAUCUGUUGUGAAUCGUAACCAAUUUCAAUCGACCAACGAUGUAUCCAAGGAAUAGAGAAUUCGAUAUAAAAGUACAUUUGAUCGAUAGUGUCUAAUUUGCAGAUAUGGUCAGAGAGAUAUAAUUCGGUCAGAAAUGGAGAGGAUUUUUUCCAUGAGUUAUAUAAGGAAGUAUAUUCUGCUGGCAAAAUUUUUACCGAUGGGCCGUGAUUUGUCCACCAACGAACGAACCAAUUUGGAAUAGGUUUCUCAAAAACUUUGGGACAGAUUUUGAUGAACCANNNNNNNNNNNNNNNNNNNNNNNNNNNNNNNNNNNNNNNNNNNNNNNNNNNNNNNNNNNNNNNNNNNNNNNNNNNNNNNNNNNNNNNNNNNNNNNNNNNNNNNNNNNNNNNNNNNNNNNNNNNNNNNNNNNNNNNNNNNNNNNNNNNNNNNNNNNNNNNNNNNNNNNNNNNNNNNNNNNNNNNNNNNNNNNNNNNNNNNNNNNNNNNNNNNNNNNNNNNNNNNNNNNNNNNNNNNNNNNNNNNNNNNNNNNNNNNNNNNNNNNNNNNNNNNNNNNNNNNNNNNNNNNNNNNNNNNNNNNNNNNNNNNNNNNNNNNNNNNNNNNNNNNNNNNNNNNNNNNNNNNNNNNNNNNNNNNNNNNNNNNNNNNNNNNNNNNNNNNNNNNNNNNNNNNNNNNNNNNNNNNNNNNNNNNNNNNNNNNNNNNNNNNNNNNNNNNNNNNNNNNNNNNNNNNNNNNNNNNNNNNNNNNNNNNNNNNNNNNNNNNNNNNNNNNNNNNNNNNNNNNNNNNNNNNNNNNNNNNNNNNNNNNNNNNNNNNNNNNNNNNNNNNNNNNNNNNNNNNNNNNNNNNNNNNNNNNNNNNNNNNNNNNNNNNNNNNNNNNNNNNNNNNNNNNNNNNNNNNNNNNNNNNNNNNNNNNNNNNNNNNNNNNNNNNNNNNNNNNNNNNNNNNNNNNNNNNNNNNNNNNNNNNNNNNNNNNNNNNNNNNNNNNNNNUGAUCAGAUAAAUAGGACUUAAUCUGCUGGAAUAAAGGAUGAGUUUCAGGAAUAUCAUCAAGAUUAAUAUUCGGAGUUUGCGAUUGUGAGGACGAUGCCUCCUGAGAGAUUCGGGUAUUAACCAAAGUUCGAUUCCCAUGUUGGAUUACAGGGAAAUUAGAACUUGUUGUGCUAUAAGCAGAGUUUCUGGUACUUCGUGGAUAAGAAGGAUUCGUUCGUCCUCCAUGGUGCAAAUAUGCAGGAUUUUGAUUUCUACCUCGACCUCUUCCUCUGGCUAUUUGCCAAGGGGGAUCAGCCAUACUGCAAAGAAGCAUCAUUAUUUAGUCUUUUAUAUCAAUAUCAUACCAGUCAUUGUCAGUAUUCUCUGGGGUGGUAUACCACCAUAAUUCAUUAUGUAUUAGUUGGAACCACCAUAGGUCAUUCAAAACAAGCUUAUGAAUGAGAGUUUCUAAUAUCAAUUUCUGAAUAUCUUUAGGUAAAGGAAUACUUUGAAGAAUUGCAAGAAUUGUUUUUUCAGAGAGAAAACGGGUAUAGAAAGUCAUAUUAAAUAUUCGCGUGAUAAAAAAUCAGGUAAUGAAUUUUCACUACCCUUUUUAUACUGAAUUUCGUAAUC